rnacentral:rRNA from 1 species
UACGAAGGGGGCUAGCGUUGCUCGGAAUUACUGGGCGUAAAGCGCACGUAGGCGGUCUUUUAAGUCGGGGGUGAAAUCCUGGAGCUCAACUCCAGAACUGCCUUCGAUACUGGAAGACUUGAGUCCGGGAGAGGUGAGUGGAACUGCGAGUGUAGAGGUGAAAUUCGUAGAUAUUCGCAAGAACACCAGUGGCGAAGGCGGACUCACUGGCCCGGUACUGACGCUGAGGUGCGAA